rnacentral:rRNA from 1 species
UACAGAGGUCUCAAGCGUUGUUCGGAUUCAUUGGGCGUAAAGGGUGCGUAGGCGGCGCGGUAAGUCGGGUGUGAAAUCUUGGAGCUUAACUCCGAAACUGCAUUCGAUACUGCCGUGCUUGAGGACUGGAGAGGAGACUGGAAUUUACGGUGUAGCGGUGAAAUGCGUAGAUAUCGUAAGGAAGACCAGUGGCGAAGGCGGGUCUCUGGACAGUUCCUGACGCUGGAGGCA